rnacentral:misc_RNA from 1 species
AAGUCGUAACAAGGUUUCCGUAGGUGAACCUGCGGAAGGAUCAUUACCAAAUCCAUCCAAUUACCGACCCACGUGUGAACCGAUAAACAGUCUUUGGGAGCUGUGCUCUUUUGUGCGGCUCCCGCAUUUAUUUUAAACCACGUUGUCUUUUGGCAGAGUAAAAACGACUUUGUUUGUUUUUCGUGCUUCUUCUUCUUCUCUCCAAGAGAAGUGGAAAGGAUGAAAAUCAGAAAAAGUAUAAAACAACUCAAUCAAAAACAACUUUUAACGGUGGAUCUCUUGGCUCGU